rnacentral:lncRNA from 1 species
UAAACAGAUAAUGAGGUUAAGGCAGACCCCCACCUGUAUAUUCCAACAGAACCAAAAAGGUUAUAAUCUCCCAAAAAGUAUAGUCUUUGAGGUAGUUAAUUACCAAACUUGACGACAAGACCAGAAAGCCUUUACACAAGCCCAAAAGGGCAAAACAGACUUAUUUAACUCUUGGGAUAAAGCCCAAAACCAAGCACAAAGGCACACAAUUCAACCGACCCAAAAACACCAUGGGUAAAAAAAUACCCUUCAUCCUUACCCAUUUCCAGGAUUACCAGUGACCAGCCACCAUCACCACCAAAGCGUAGAUCUAGGCAAGUCAAGAAGGAAACUACCAUGAGGAAGACAAAGGAAACCUCAAACCUUUCCAAGCAUCCAAGCACAUCUCCCCCACCGAGAUCUAUCUAGAUCUAACAUCCCAACCUAAUCACCACCACAACAGUCGCAGAUCUCAUCAUCUCAAAUCCAACAGGAUUUGUUUGUAUUGAUAGUAAAAAGGGAGAAGAAGAAACGACUUAAAGAUCUCAAAAAGAUACAUCCCCUUUCCCAAUCUCUUGCAAACAAGAAACAAAUCAAGCAAGGAAAUGAUCAUAUUUGAUCUACAAAUAGUGGGUGGAAUUCAUAACCAGCCACCGAACGUCGGUAGACCAACUCUGGUGGCUGGGAUCACAUCUCUUAGAGAAGCUCUCUCUCCCUCUAAUGGAGGCAGAAAAAUCGCCUUUAGGCAGGAAAACCCUAAAC